ensembl:ncRNA lncRNA:CR46010 long non-coding RNA:CR46010
AAACAAAAAAAAAAAAGAGAAAAGUGAAACAGCUCGAAAACAAAAAAGUCCCAAGCUGGCUAAAGUCCUUAUUAUCCUUGCAUGUUGGCGGAGAAAAAAAUGCAAUAUCGAAUGCAUUUGGAGCUGCAGCCACGCCCCUUCUGCCCGCCCUCCUAUCAACUAAACGCACUGCAGCCGCAAAGAAAUUGCGAAAAUGAAAACAACAAAAUGUGGUAAAUUGGGAAAAUGGGAAGCUCGCGAGAGAGAGAUUUUCAAUUAAAAGGAAUUGCUGCUCUAUGUGGAUUUUUGUGCUUAUUAGCCAGCCUAUCCGCCCUUCACCGCCUCUCACCCAACCGCCUCCCAUUUCAGGCUAAAACCACUCGAAAGCCGUGCACAUUUGGUAAUCAAUUUCUGUUGUUGCUGCCGUUGUUGUUCGGCGGCUGACUGACAAUCUUCGCUAAUAAGCUGGUCCCCAGGCGCCUCCUACAUGGGCCACAACUACACUUAGAAAACUUAG